ACAAAAUGCCAAGCAGUCCUGUUGGAACAAGUGCUCAGGAUGAUAUUUAAUAUAGCAGGGAGCCAAGACACAGUAGUAGGACACGGUAAAGAAUGUGGAGUGUGUAGAUACAAUAAAGAAUUUCGGUUUAUGAUCUGCCAUUCGUUAUUUGAAAGAGGAAUAAGUUACGGAAAUAAACAACUUUCAGUUCUCCAUACAUGCAAAGGUAAGUUCGUUGUUACAAAAGUUUUGCUGUUGUAUGUGCUGAAAGAAAAGCAUAUGCAUUUAAACAUUUUUUAAAAAUAAAUCACUCAAUAGGCUUAAGAAAAAUACUUCAGUACAUAUUUUAUCGAUCUGACCUUUGGAUUCAAGAUCGGGGAAUGAAUCUAGGUUAAAAAAGAAACAAACAAACACGAAAACCCUAACCAGAAAAUGAAUCAUAUACCAUGAAAAAGGCAUAUCCAGUCUCAGCUAACCUCGACUAGGUUUUAUUGCAUUAUUUUUGAAAUGCCAAAAUACUGGCUUUGGCCAUAAUAUUUACUGUCCAACUAAAUCAUAGCUGUCAGUAUGCAGUUGCUUGCAACAAUUAGCUAAACACCAUUAUUUGGAAAAUUCCCUUGAAAGAGACGUAAAUGCUAUAGUGUGUUUAGGUCUAACACACUAAAUCAAGUAACAAUCAGUCGAGCUGGGGCUGUAGCAUAAGGAGAGAAGUUUGGAAAUCCUCGCCCAAGGAUGGGGUUUUACACAGCCUUACAUUUUGAAAAACACAUGUUUGUCCUGAUCUUACAAGUUCUUUCCUGUUUUCAGAAAUAAAUUGCGGGACUGACUAAAGUGCAGGGGGAAGAAAGCCCCCGCCAACUCUAGAUUAGUUUUUAAGGAGAUCAGGAGGAGAGGAAGAAAAAUAGAAAUGCAAAUGUUACAUGAUAAUGAU